ensembl:lncRNA
GUUUCUGGUAGCUCUGUGAUUCUUCCCUCGUUCAGAUCCCUGCUAUCCUCCCCCAAUCUCCAGCAUCACCUUUAGGGCCCCAAGUCACACUGAGGGGUCCACUGCUUUCAUGCAAGGCCAGCCCUGCUUAUUUGUUUUUUUUCUAACAUUUUGGAGUGAAGUCUCUGAAGACAUUUGGAAAAGGAUAACUCAUAGCCUGCAUGAAUUCAACAAAUGACCUAAGUUCUCUAGAAUGGAACAUGACUGCAUUGUUUAUAUUUUGUUUUUUAUUUUGUUACCAGGCAAUCAGUAUGGACUCUGUUGGAAUGUAAUGUGUCAAUUUGGUUUCAUGCCUCAUCACACUGGCAGACAGAAGAGGGUAAUGGCUGCUUUGGGGAGUGGAGGAAGCCAAAAAGAAGGCAAAGAGUGAAGACAGAGAAACAAGAUGUCAGUGGUGGUGCUGAGAAGGAAUAGAGAGACUUUUCUUCUUGUUAAGGGCCGCAGAGGGAGGAAUCCAGCUGAGGACUACACAGGGGCAUCUGGCUUCAGGAAUAACAGAUCAAAUGGUGACGAACUCCUUCAAAAUGUGACAACUUGGACAAAAGUCUGCUUAAAUCUUUCUGGAUGCAAACGAAUUUUGCCCUUGUGUGUAGAAACUAGUCCUAGCACAGAGAGAAGGGAAUUCAAUUUGGAUCUCAAGACCCCAGAGGAAGCCCUGGAUUUGCUCCUUACUGGCUGUGUGAUCUUAGGGCAGCCAGAUGAAGACAGCUGAGAAGAGGAGGCCCAGUUGCAGGAAUGGGCCAAGUACUUGUGGAGGGCAGUGAAAUCAAUGGUUUGCUUCAGGCAGAAAAAAGAACAUGAAAUGGGCAACUGGGCAUUGUUUAAGCUGUUGGUUCACAUCAAGGAGCAACAAUACUAAAGAACUGGUAGAGAGAAGGCUCUAGAAACAGGAACUAUUGGCAGGCUAGACCAAGUGCACCAAAAGUAUUUCAAAACUUUUGAGAUUAAGUGCUAGUUCAUGUCUGAGUAACACAAAACCAACAGACUGUGGCUUGGGAACCACAGCAUCAUUCUUAUGAAGGAAUUCUGGGAAAAGCUCAAGAGCUUCUCUCUCUGAGACUGUCUGCAGGCAUGCAAAUAGUGAUAAAUAUGUUUGGUCUUCUACACAUUUGCUAAAAUCUAAGCUCUGGAUGCCAGGAAACCUAGGAGAGCUGGGUUUGUUUUUUCAAAAAUAAUCACCAUUACAUUUUUGAUCACUGAAGAUGCAGACUUAUUGGAAAAAGAAUGUUUGAUUACCGAAAUGUACAGAAAGUGAGAGUUUCCCAUAAUCAACCACCCCCAUAACCACUGUUAACCAAUGUAUCUAUGCAAUUAAUUGUGUUUUUACAAAAAUGAGAUAAUAUUGUAUAUGUUGUGUGAUUUCAAUUAAAAGUGUCUUUUAUCUCAAUACUUAGAGACAAUUUUCAGUCUUAAUCUUCUUCCUUAACAAACCAACGAAAACAAGAUGUGUAUUUCCUAGUGUACUGAUU